rnacentral:rRNA from 1 species
GACGAACGCUGGCGGCGUGCUUAACACAUGCAAGUCGAACGGAAAGGCCCUGCUUUUGUGGGGUGCUCGAGUGGCGAACGGGUGAGUAACACGUGAGUAACCUGCCCUUGACUUUGGGAUAACUUCAGGAAACUGGGGCUAAUACCGGAUAGGAGCUCCUGCUGCAUGGUGGGGGUUGGAAAGUUUCGGCGGUUGGGGAUGGACUCGCGGCUUAUCAGCUUGUUGGUGGGGUAGUGGCUUACCAAGGCUUUGACGGGUAGCCGGCCUGAGAGGGUGACCGGCCACAUUGGGACUGAGAUACGGCCCAGACUCCUACGGGAGGCAGCAGUGGGGAAUAUUGCACAAUGGGCGGAAGCCUGAUGCAGCAACGCCGCGUGCGGGAUGACGGCCUUCGGGUUGUAAACCGCUUUCGCCUGUGAUGAAGCGUGAGUGACGGUAAUGGGUAAAGAAGCACCGGCUGACUACGUG